AGGCGAGUGUGUUCCAGGUGAUCCGGAGACAGAGCCAACUACUCAGCCUCAGAUUUCUGUUGCCAAGAGGUUGAAGAGAAAGGUGGUGCCAGCUGUGAACUCUGGCAAUUUUUAACCACAUGGACAAAUGAUUCGUUAUUUAAUGGUCACGUCACUAUAAACUCUAGUGUUUACUGUUUGUAUCAAAUUUUCUUCAGAAUUGUACGCUCACUCAGUCUCCCACGGGUCACAUACGGUAGCCCAUGGGAGCAGUAAUGUACACCUGUAAACUAAUACUUAAAAAUACUACAGGGUCCUUUUUGUCCCCGUCUAUGUAUUCAAGGUGAGGAUAAGGAGAAGUUAAUAUAUAUUAAUAAAUGUAUGUUUACUGUAAGACUGCACAAGGUGAGAGGUCAUGUGGACAAACUGAAGAGGAGGGUCAUCACACAAACACUCACAAGACAAUCACGUUGUCACAUCUUCAAUGGGAAAAACAACUGUUACUGUCACUGGUACUGGUUUCCUACAAAUGCAGUGCAAAUUGUAUGAAUAUGUUUCUAUAUCAUUGUUUCAUUGUGAUAUUGCAUUUUUCAUAUAUAUGAAAUGUAUUAAUCUAAAUUAAUUUGUAAUAAAAUGAUUCAGUGUUUA